GGGCAUUAUUUACCUGUCAUGCCCACUGGCAGAUUGUGGGCAUGCAAAAAAACCAAAAGCCAUAUAAUAAACAGCUUAUUAACCUCAAACUCGGUCUUUAUGGAAAAACCUCAAACCCUAGCCUUGCCGUAUUGAUCUUGAUAUCACUAAGUCAAUACAGCUAGGUCUCAGUUUGAGAUUUUCCCAUAAAGACCUCAGUCUCAGUUAAUAAGUAGUUAACAGACUGAUCAAGUACAUCACAAUUUACUUAUUUUUGAUGUACAUGAUUUUUUCUGCAGGUCCGAGGGCAAUGUUUGCAGCAGGGUUCUGUCAACUCGACACAUGAUAGAUACAAGACUCUACCUGAUGAUGAAGUUGGUGGUGUUAGGAAAACUCGAGUGACAUCAUCACCCAAAAACCUUGUCACAAACAUUUUUCGACACAGAGUCUCAAGGAACAGAGUGCGGCAUGUGGAUGAGCAGUUUGAUCUUGACUUGACCUACAUCACAGACAGGAUAAUCGCAAUGUCAUUUCCUGGAUCUGGUCUGGAAACAACUUACAGAAAUAACCUGAGAGAAGUGGCAAAGAUGCUGCAGACAAACCAUCAGGAUAAGUACAUGGUUUUUAAUUUAUCUGAAAGAAGAUAUGACAUAUCCAAACUAAAUCACCAGGUAGAGUGAUUGAGUUCAUUUACUAAUAAAUAGUAUGUUGUUUAAAUUUUCCAAAAAAAAAAUGAAGAUGACUGGCUGUGUGAUCUGUAUGUCUGCCUCUGGUCAGAUAUUUUCUUAUAUACAUGUACUCUGACACAUGAAUUAAG